UAACAUGGCAACACCAUCUUUCCACCAGUUCCUACAGCUCAGCUCUUGGCUUUGUCUGAGCUCCCUUGAAAUGGAGGUGAGAUAAAAGAGAGCUAACAGUGAAGAGGAGACAACUGAAGAAGCUGCCUACGAACACGCCAGCCGCUUUGUGCCCGCUCCCUGAAUAAGAAAAGAAGACAGAUUAAAAAGGGUACCAUUGUCUGUUGAGAAUACCUUAUCACAUGAAGGGGCAUCCUGAGCGACUUCCAGCCUUCCCAGUGUGAAGCCACCCGCAGGACCCAGCGCUCCCUCCCUGCAGUGCCCAAGUUCAGUGGUGCCGCUGGAGCUGAGCGUGUCCCUGCGCCAGGCUCUGGCACCCACUCCAGCAUCACUCCAGUGCCCGUGAGAGCCUCCAAACCCCAGCCUCCCUGCACCUGCGGGCUGCAGAAAUAACUCCAAAACCUCUCUGCAUGAGGUUACAGCCUGAGCCAUGCUCCGUGUACCCGCCAGCUUUGUGGUGAGGGCACCGUGCCCCCUGACUGGCGCUGCCUGCUCACAGAUGUGCAUUAAUAGAAUAUGGAAAAAAAAUAAUAUGUAAAUGAUGAACAGUUCUGAAUCUUCAAGCACGUGCUCUGGGUGCAGCUCGCCCAUGCUCACCUAUCCGGCACAGCCCGCAUACCCUGGGGGAAAGCCCAGCUCUGCUCCGGGAAGGGCACACACCCAGAACAGCUGCAGCACCAUGAGAACAUGCGCUGAAAACCUGAAAGCUGCCAGCAAGCAGCACCAGCGGUCAGGAAAGAGGCAAUCAGUCUGCAGAUAAAGCAGUUAGCUUCAGGACAACUUCACCAGCAGAGGCUGGAUCUGAGCUUUGGUCCGGACUCGCUACCCCUUCAGGAAGGUGCACACCAGAUGAAUGAAACCACAUGAUAACUACACCAGAACUACAUUUUUCUGCACAUGGUGUUGUAUCGAUUCGACACCGCUCUGAAUUCAGGUGGUAGGUUUACACACGUAGUCAUCAUUCCGGACAACAUGGAAGGAAAUCCAUCCCCCACCUCCUCCCCCUGGGUUAUGGAAUUUGCCUUGACAAAUCUUGCAAAUCAGAGCCAUCUGCCUGCAAAAAUAACAUUUAAAAUAAAAUAAAAUAAAAUAAAAUAAAAUAAAAUAAA
rnacentral:lncRNA from 1 species